AGUGAACGCUGGCGGUAGGCCUAACACAUGCAAGUCGAACGGCAGCACAGUAAGAGCUUGCUCUUACGGGUGGCGAGUGGCGGACGGGUGAGGAAUACAUCGGAAUCUACUUUUUCGUGGGGGAUAACGUAGGGAAACUUACGCUAAUACCGCAUACGACCUUCGGGUGAAAGCAGGGGAUCUUCGGACCUUGCGCGAUUGAAUGAGCCGAUGUCGGAUUAGCUAGUUGGCGGGGUAAAGGCCCACCAAGGCGACGAUCCGUAGCUGGUCUGAGAGGAUGAUCAGCCACACUGGAACUGAGACACGGUCCAGACUCCUACGGGAGGCAGCAGUGGGGAAUAUUGGACAAUGGGCGCAAGCCUGAUCCAGCCAUACCGCGUGGGUGAAGGAGGCCUUCGGGUUGUAAAGCCCUUUUGUUGGGAAAGAAAAGCAGCAGGUUAAUACCCCGCUGUUCUGACGGUACCCGAAGAAUAAGCACCGGCUAACUUCGUG
rnacentral:rRNA from 1 species